rnacentral:rRNA from 1 species
CCUACGGGGGGCUGCAGUUUGGAAUUGUUGACAAUGGGCGAAAGCCUGAUCACGCGACGCCGCGUGGACGAUGAAGGCCUUCGGGUUGUAAAGUCCUUUUGCUAGGGAACAAUUUUUGAGCGUACCUAGAGAAUAAGAGGUUGCUAACUCUGUGCCAGCAGCAGCGGUAAUACAGAGACCUCAAGCGUUAUCCGGAAUCAUUGGGCGUAAAGCGUACCGAUAGGUGGCUAAGAAAGUCAGAGGUGAAAUCUCUCAGCUCAACUGGGAGACUGUCC